GAUGAACGCUGGCGGCGUGCCUAAUACAUGCAAGUCGAGCGAACAGAUAAGGAGCUUGCUCCUUUGACGUUAGCGGCGGACGGGUGAGUAACAAGUGGGUAACCUACCCAUAAGACUGGGAUAACUUCGGGAAACCGGAGCUACUACCAGAUAAUAUUUCGAACCGCAUGGUUCGAUAGUGAAAGAUGGUUUUGCUAUCACUUAUAGAUGGACCCGCGCCGUAUUAGCUAGUUGGUAAGGUAACGGCUUACCAAGGCGACGACACGUAGCCGACCUGAGAGGGUGAUCGGCCAUACUGGAGCGGAGACAAGGUGCAGACUCCUACGGGAGGCAGCAGUAGUGAAUCUUCCUGAAUGAGCGGAAGCCUGACGGAGCAACGCCGCGUGAGUGAUGAAGGUCUUCGGAUCGUAGAACUCUGUUAUUAGGGAAGAACAUACGUGUAAGUAACUGUGCACGUCUUGACGGUACCUAAACAGAAAGCGACGGCUAACUACGUG
rnacentral:rRNA from 1 species